rnacentral:sRNA from 1 species
AGUCCUCUAUUUAUUCUCAGAGCUGGUAUUGCAAGAACACAGGCAGGGAAGGCUUUCUCCACACCAUUCCCUGGCAAUGUGCCUCAGUUCUAUUCAGGCUCUGUGGCUCAUUUGUAAUCCUUAGCUGAGCAGAGAAGGGAAGU